AUUGGAGGGUUUGAGCUAGCUUUUGGAAUGAAACCGAGAGAAAGAGGGAGGGGGGUUCUCAGGCGUGAAACAGAGGAAAGGAAAGGAAGAAAGGAAGAGGAAAGGAAAGGAAGAAAGGAAGAGGAAGGAGAUCCCGGUUGCACUUCCAGCUGAAGGGAAAAACGUAGAUCUCCUUCCCCUCUACGCAAGGACCUCGAUUUCCAAAAAGAAAAAGGUAAAUAUACAUCCCUAUCUAGUCUUUUGAUGACAUUAGGCUAUACAAAGGGUGGAUAUAGUCUAGAGGGGUCGGAUAAGGGUUGUAGAGGUGGUUAAAAGAAGAAGAAUCGGAUUUUGACAAAUUUUUCCGGCACUACGGAAAAACUGUGUCGAAGUCCCAACUUUGAUGAAUUAUUUAGGGGGUCAAACGGCCUCCGAUGAUGAUGCAUGUUAUCUCUUUGGAAUCCUCUAUGAGUGUAGAAUGCUAGGUAAAAAUUUCAUCAAUUUUGGAGUCCUGAAAGUGGAUCAAAACCGGGAUGAAGUAACCCACUGUCAGUUCNN
rnacentral:lncRNA from 1 species